ensembl:lncRNA
GUGGUAUACAACCAGGAUAGAAUUCAUUCCAUUCUCUGUCCUGGAAACAAGCAGGAUGGUACCAAAAUCUGUGGAAAUGCUUUUAGUUCUUUUAUUUUCCUUUUACGUUUCAUCCCAUAGUAGCAUCAUUUUCUUUCUCACUUAACAGCAGGAAUCUGAUACUUCUGCCCAGAGAGGCUGCAAGGAUUUAGUCACAGUGAAGAGCUACACUAAUAAUGGGGAACAAAACACCGGCAACAACAAAAGGAAUUCUCCUUUUUGUAUAAGGCUGUAGUUGCUUUAAAUUGGUGAACUGGUGGCUACUUUCAACUUGAACACGAUUUGACUUAUUAAAAUGCAAAAGGUCUAAUAUUACAGUUUUACUGUGAGACUGUGCCAUGAAAAGCAGAAGAUAAGCAUUCUGGCCCUUGACACAUUGCUGCAUUUCAAUGUCUUACCUGUCCUGCCUGGCUGCUAAGAUAGGUCUUACCCCAGCAGAGUAUAAGUGUUGGAUUUAAUCAUCAGUUUUCCUUGUGGUUAUCUUCAACACUAAAUAAAGUCUAAUGUCACCUGAGUCGUGUUUUGACACACUGGUUUCAGUUGAGAGACAUCAAAGUGCUUGAUUAAAUAGAAGCUCUCCUGUUGCUUCCCAAGAUGGAUAUGGAGUAUGUGAUAAAUGGCCAAUAGCUUGCCUGACAUUGUCCAAAGGCUGUAAACACUAACUGAAUCCCCAUUCUCACCUGCUGCCAGUUACUGCUUCCUGCUCUCUCCUUGUCUUACUGAUGUCGUUUUGCAAACCAUUUUGGAACACCUUAAAUUUGAGAUGGCAGCAAAGGGGCAAUUUGACAAAAAGAUGUCUGAAGCGAAGGUGUGUCACUGAAUUCCUCCACGUAGAAGCAACUGCACCCAUUGAUGUUUAUUGAUGCUUGCUGAACAUUUAUGGAGACUUAACCGUGGAUGUGAGCACAGUGAGGAGGUAAACUACAGACCUCCAUCUGAAGGGAGAGGAGAUAGUUUAUUCAGUGAAAAUGUUUAUAAUGCAGAUCCUGGCAAACUACAUUAUCCAAAGGAUUUAAAAAUUCUUAAGCUUUAUAAAGAGCAUGCUAACAAGUCAUCUUGAGCUGAAUGCAGCUGUACCCUGGCUGAGAGAAUGUCUUCACUGUCAGCUUUCUCAGACUGUAUAGAGAAGGUAAGAAAUAAAGCCGAAGUAUCAAAAUGAUUGUCUUUAAAUUCUGGUACUUAUCCAGAUACCCAAC